rnacentral:rRNA from 1 species
GACGAACGCUGGCGGCGUGCUUAAUACAUGCAAGUCGAACGGACAGACCCGGAUUUUGCUGCUCGCUCGUUAGCCGAGCAGGUGAGUAACACGUGUGUAUCAUGUCCUUGUCAUUCUGGUAUCAUUUGGAAACAGGGGAGCUUAUAGCAUAUAAUAUAUUGAUGCGUGUGGUUCGUUAGUAAGAUUCGGCGGUUGGGUAUGGACUCGCGGCUUAUCAGCUUGUUGGUGGGGUAGUGGCUCACCAAGGUUUUGACGGGUAGCCGGCCUGAGAGGGUGACCGGCCACAUUGGGACUGAGAUACGGCCCAGACUCCUACGGGAGGCAGCAGUGGGGAAUAUUGCACAAUGGGCGGAAGCCUGAUGCAGCAACGCCGCGUGCGGGAUGACGGCCUUCGGGUUGUAAACCGCUUUCGCCUGUGACGAAGCGUGAGUGACGGUAAUGGGUAAAGAAGCACCGGCUAACUACGUG